GGACGACCUUCUCCUCUCCACAAUGGACCAAUCAGACAAGAGUCACCAGCUCGCUACAAUGAUAGUCGCCGGUCUUCCCAAGUCUCCACUUCAGAUUCCAUAAGGAGUAUGAAUGCGAAGUUAAAACAAGAAAUUUAUGAUCUAGAGGGUGAAAUAGAACAUCAUCAUAAUGUGAACCAGCGGGCAAAAAGUAUUUACGGCUCUCAGGCCUCGAUGCGAUCCGGGCCUCGAUGACGAACUCCAAUUAUUCUGUGCUUUAAUUCCUUAACGAUACAGGCCAAAUACUUACAGUAUGGCAGAUAAAGUGCAUUCAGUUUAUUGUAUACCAAAGAUUUUCCUGGAUCAUAUAAGGAUCUGGAUUCCUGUGGUAACUAGAUGUUUCCUUGGCAACCGGAGACACCGGGUCAGUCGGGAGACAAUGUCGGGGAUGUUCAUCAGUAGAGUAGAACAGAGACUUCAAAAUAAGGUUUAUCCCAGAUCCAUUCCCGCAUGGAGACUGUUCCAGUGUUGAGGAUGUCUGGAUACCACUUGUCAAAAUGAUUCCGCCCAUGGAUGUCUGGAUACCACUCGUCAAAAUGAUUCCGUCCAUAUUUAUUUUCAUUUUACAUACUUCAGACUGGGAGAGUGUCAAGGGACAUAACUUUGACAGAAUUGAUGUGAACUUAUCAAGGGCUUUCUUCAUAUUCCGUCCAUUUUAUAAGAUUACAUGUUGAAGUUAUACAGGUACAUGUAAAUACUUGUAUACUUUAAGUUGUAAUUUUGUUGAGUUUUAUAAGUUUAUUCUUGUUAUUUGUGUUUUUAUACCAUUUUAAAAGAUUUGUUUAAAUUUUUGCAACUGGAGAAGAUAUGAUUGUAUUAUUGCUGCUCAGUAAAGAGUCUUUUUCAUACAUGUACACUUCACACUGUAAAUGUUCAUUUUGUUUAUAUGAAUGGGUGCUGAGUAGGCAGGAGUAGUGUCAGCUAAAUCACGAGGUAUAAAACAUGGAGAAUUAUUCCAAGAUAAACUUCAUGAAUCAUAUACUGUUGAAAGUCAAAUUUUGUUUCUGUUUGUUCUUGACUUUUAAAUACCAAGUAAUAAUCAAAAGUUCUCACUACAAAUACAUGUAUUUCAUUGUUAAGUCUUAUGAUCAGUACAUGUAUUAUAAGUGUACAACUAAUGUUCAGUAGUACAUGUACUUAAAUACCCUCAUUUCCUGGACAGCAUGAUAAAUACAUGUAAUAAUGUAAGGCUCACAAAAGCCAGAUUGUAGUUUGAAUGGUCUGAGAGGUUGAUCACAUGUUGUCUUACUUCCAUUGUUUGAUUUGGCAAGUUAUUUAUUUAUGUGUGUAAGAUUGUUCAUCAGGUGCUGGUCAGGACUCUGACUUGGUGGUAUAUUAACAAUAGAAAUCUGGAUUUAUCACAAGACUUCACAGACUCAGCUAUGUGCUGUUAUUUAUAUCAGAUUCUUCAAAAUUAGAAUACAUCACAAGGAACAAUAAAA
rnacentral:misc_RNA from 1 species